UACAGAGGUCCCAAGCGUUACUGAGAAUCACUGGGUUUAAAGGGUGCGUAGGUGGUCCGUUAAGUCAGUUGUGAAAUCCCCGGGCUCAACCCGGGAAAUGCUUCUGAUACUGGCGGACUUGAGGCCAGUAGGGGUCACUAGAACUGACGGUGGAGCGGUGAAAUGCGUAGAUAUCGUCAGGAAUGCCGGUGGCGAAAGCGGCGUACUGGGGCUUAACUGACGCUGAGGCACGAAAGCCAGGGAGCGAACGGG
rnacentral:rRNA from 1 species